UACGAAGGGGGCUAGCGUUGCUCGGAAUCACUGGGCGUAAAGCGCACGUAGGCGGCUUUCUAAGUCAAGGGUGAAAUCCUGGAGCUCAACUCCAGAACUGCCUUUGAUACUGGGAAGCUCGAGUCCGGAAGAGGUGAGUGGAACUCCGAGUGUAGAGGUGAAAUUCGUAGAUAUUCGGAAGAACACCAGUGGCGAAGGCGGCUCACUGGUCCGGUACUGACGCUGAGGUGCGAAAGCGUGGGGAGCAAACAGG
rnacentral:rRNA from 1 species